AACUAACAGACUUUUCUGCAUUUUGGAUUUUUUCCCUGUUUGGAUUAAUCUGUAUUGUUUUUGUGAUAAUCUAAAGCCAGAAAAAUUAAAAUCACACAGCUCAAUACACCAUAUACUACUGAGACAAGAGAUCGUUAAAAACAAUGACCUCUGAUUAACUUCCUGCUGCGCACACUGAUUCCAACGAUGAGGCUGGCACCUUGUCAGUGGAAAGUUAACGAUGCAGGACGACUCAACCUGCCCCUUCCUACUCCUCUGCUUCUGCUCUGACUGUGUCAGCCACUGUGGGGAAUGCUGACACUGCAACAUCGAUGCCAUUGACUGCAUUUGUAUCCAUGCAUAUUCAGCAGGGCAAAUGCAGGUCUAAGGGCCAGAUGGAGCAGUGUUGAGAUCGAAGGAUGUCAGGACGGGAGGAUGAAUGGACGAUGAAUGGACGUGGAGAUAAGGGUGGAGUGGGUGAGUGGGUUCAAGAUUAAACAGGAUGAAGUACUCCA